AGGAGCCUGGUGUAACAGCAGCACGGCGGCCUCCAAACCCGUCCGGUGCCCGUGCAAAUCGGGCGGCUCCUGCCA
rnacentral:tRNA from 1 species